rnacentral:rRNA from 1 species
CCCUUAGAUGUCCUGGGCCGCACGCGUUCUACAAUGACUUGUUCAGAAAGUUCUAUCCUGGUCCGGUAGGAUUUCGGGUAAUCUUUUUAAUGCAAGUCGUAUUAGGGAUCGAUCUUUGUAAUUAUAGAUCUUGAACGAGGAAUUCCUAGUAAGUACAAGUCAUCAGCUUGUACUGAUUACGUCCCUGCCCUUUGUACACACCGCCCGUCGCUUCUACCGAUCGAGUGAUACGGUGAACCUUCUGGACUGUAGAGGUCUCGAACCAAUACGGGAAGUUAAGUAAACCUCAUCACUUAGAGGAAGAAGAAGUCGUAACA